rnacentral:rRNA from 1 species
AACGUAGGAGACAAACGUUAUCCGGAGUUACUGGGCGUAAAGGGCGUGCAGGUGGUCAUUUAAGUUCGGCGUGAAAGCUCCUGGCUAAACCGGGAGAGGUCGUCGGAGACUGGAUGGCUAGAGGGUGAUAGAGGCGGGUGGAAUUCCGGGUGUAGUGGUGAAAUGCGUAGAGAUCCGGAGGAACACCAGUGGCGAAGGCGACCCGCUAGGUCACACCUGACACUGAGACGCGACAGCAUGGGGAGCGAACGGG